GAUGAACGCUAGCGGCAGGCUUAAUACAUGCAAGUCGAGGGGCAGCAGUUUUGUAGCAAUACAGAAGGUGGCGACCGGCAAACGGGUGCGGAACACGUACGCAACCUUCCUUUAGCUGGGAGAUAGCACACCGAAAGGUGGAUUAAUAUCCCAUCAUAUAACUGAAUGGCAUAAUUUAGCUAGUAAAGCUCCGGCGGUUAAAGAUGGGCGUGCGUCGGAUUAGGUAGUUGGCGGGGUAACGGCCCACAAAGCCUUCGAUCAGUGGCGGAUGUGAGAGCAUGCUCACCCACACGGGCACUGAGACACGGGCCCGACUCCUACGGGAGGCAGCAGUAAGGAAUAUUGGUCAAUGGACGUAAGUCUGAACCAGCCCUGCCGCGUGGAGGAUGAAGGCCCUCUGGGUUGUAAACUUCUUUUCUUUGGGACGAAACCCCUUUUUCUACGGGGACUGACGGUACCAGAGGAAUAAGCACCGGCUAACUCCGUGCCAGCAGCCGCCGUAACAC
rnacentral:rRNA from 1 species